UGGUAUAUUCAACCGGCAAUUCUUUGUAGUGGAGAGGCGUGGAGGAGAUGCUGCCGGUCUCUGUCGCCCUGUCGCGGAUCUCCACGGCCGCCAACGCCCAGCGCCGCCUCCCUCGCCGCUGAUCAACGCCUCCACCACACCAGGCACUGCCUUCGCCUCGCCGUCGUCCCCCGUGUCAACUUCCUCCUCCACCGCGCGCAAAAACCAAUCGCCAUCGCGCCCCCACCCCGUUACGCCUGGCCUUCCUUGCCGGCGGCCCCGCCCAGUGCGGCCUUCCUCGCCACACGCUGCCUCCUGUGUCACCAGCAUCACGCCCAGCAUCGCCUCCCUCUCCGGCGCGCCUGCAGCCUCCACCAUACAAUGGAGUCGCCGCCGUUGCCACCCCCUUCCUUGGGUGUGCUUCCUGAUUGCAACAAUCAAGGUGGAUUAAGGUGGCCGUGAGGUCAAGGAGAGGGGAGGUCCAGGCAUCGGAGAGGAGGAAGAAGGUGGUCAAGGCUGUUCUGUUGCUGCUGAUCCUACCCAAGCCAGACACGCCCAUGUUCUGUUGCUGCUGAUCAUGUAUCAUAGUGCCCAUGGUGUGUUUGAGGUAAUGUCCACCAGGUUGCUUUUUGAUUAAUUAGUUCAGUUACAUGGACCUGUGAAGAUACUUUAGUUUGAUUGAGUCCAUAUAAUUGAGUUUGAUCGAGUCAAAUGUGGAGGAGUAACAUCUAUAUAUAGAGAUUGAUAAUAAGUAAGCCAAUGCCUGAUUCAGUUCUUAGCUCUUAUGUCUACAUAUGCAAUGACUAAAUAUUAUGACAGCCAGCACAGUAUUCAGAGGUAGAGGAAUAGUCUGCAAGUGCGCGCCGUUCAUGAUGCUUGCACGGCGAGCCCUCUUCCUGGCCACCACCGGCACCACCAACGCCACCGGGAAGUAUUCAUCCGCCAAUCCAGUUGCGACGGUGCCCUCCUCCGAGACACUCUCAGCGAGCCCCCUCACCUAAUCCAGCAUUCCCGGCCAUGUACUCCCUCUUACUCUUUAACCCCAUCCUGUUGUGUCACGUCUUCCUUCAAUUCGGCGGACAUCGAGUCGCCGGCUCGGCUCUAGACUCACUGGCGAGUGGACCGGCGAGGGAAGAUUACGGCAUGGAGAUUAGUCACUAUAUGCAAAAGGAAAACGGAGAACGCCUCCAACACGAUAGCCAUGGGUGCCUGACUCGGAUUACACAUAUUCUUCGGUGUCAUAAAAAGGAAGCCUCGACCGGAUCACAUCACAAAUUCUGAAGACAAACAGUCCAAUGUCGCCUCCGCCAAUUUCGCGGGAAGACCAUCCACCGUUGUCUCUGUGGACUUCGCUGCAAGACCAUCCGCCGUUGCCUCCGCCGACUUUGCCGGAAGACCAUCAGUUGUCGUCUCCGCCUACUUCGCCACAGGCAUCUUUUUUUGUUUGUAAAUUAUUAUGCAACUAUUUUUGAUUUACAACCAGAGCUUACUGAUGGUUAUAGGAUGAAAAAAAUGUGCAUAUAAGUUGCAAGAUUUUGAAUAGCAAUUUCUAUGUAUAUGUUCUCCUACACUUGUGCUGAUGAACUCACUCAUUCACUCA